rnacentral:rRNA from 1 species
AUUGAACGCUGGCGGCAGGCUUAACACAUGCAAGUCGAGCGGAUGACGGGAGCUUGCUCCUUGAUUCAGCGGCGGACGGGUGAGUAAUGCCUAGGAAUCUGCCUGGUAGUGGGGGGCAACGUUUCGAAAGGAACGCUAAUACCGCAUACGUCCUACGGGAGAAAGCAGGGGACCUUCGGGCCUUGCGCUAUCAGAUGAGCCUAGGUCGGAUUAGCUAGUUGGUGGGGUAAUGGCUCACCAAGGCGACGGUCCGUAACUGGUCUGAGAGGAUGAUCAGUCACACUGGAACUGGGACACGGUCCAGACUCCUACGGGAGGCAGCAGUGGGGAAUAUUGGACAAUGGGCGAAAGCCUGAUCCAGCCAUGCCGCGUGUGUGAAGAGGGUCUUCGGAUUGUAAAGCACUUUAAGUUGGGAGGAAGGGCAGUAAGCUAAUACCUUGCUGUUUUGACGUUACCGACAGAAUAAGCACCGGCUAACUCUGUGCCAGCCGCCGCCGUAACAC